rnacentral:misc_RNA from 1 species
GAUGAAGAACGCAGCGAAAUGCGAUACUUGGUGUGAAUUGCAGAAUCCCGUGAACCAUCGAGUCUUUGAACGCAAGUUGCGCCCGAAGCCAUCAGGUUGAGGGCACGUCUGCCUGGGCGUCACAUAUCGUUGCCCAAUGCCUAUUGCAGUGCAAUAGGAAUUUCUAGGGCGAAUGAUGGCUUCCCGUGAGCGUUGUUGCCUCGCGGUUGGUUGAAAAUCGAGUCCUUGGUAGGGUGUGCCAUGGUAGAUGGUGGUCGAGUUAGAACGAUACCGAUCAUGUGCAUGCUCCCCAAAAUAUGGCCUCUAUGACCCAAACGCGUCUUUUGACGCUCAUGACGAGACCUCAGGUCAGGCGGGGCUACCCGCUGAAUUUAAGCAUAUCAAUAAGCGGAGGA